AUCAGAAGUCACAAACAAGAAUAAAGUGAAACUGCUGAUUUUGAAGGACUUAGAAUCUAAUUGAGGAGGCUGUUGAUUUUGGAGUGGCUGUGCAAUUCUAGUGAACUGCUAGCAAAGAGUGAUCAAUCAACACUUUGAAAGCUUCUGGUUCAUCCCAGUACCUAUCCAUUUCAAGAAGGACUUUUCAGCUACAUGGUUUCUGACAAUGGCAAAUACCACUGAAUAAACUAUAAUUUUUAUCUGGAUUCAUGAGACAGAAGAGCAUCCAUCCUGUUAAAGG